UCUAAGUGACACUGAAUGAGAAACUUUGUUUUCCAGGUUCGUAUUUAUGUGGAUGCUAUAAUUAAUCAUAUGUGUGGUAAUGCUGCUGGUGCAGGAACAAGCAGUACUUGUGGAAGUUACUUCAAUGCUGGAAAUAGAGAGUUUCCAGCAGUCCCAUAUUCUGGAUGGGAUUUUAAUGAUGGUAAAUGUAAAACUGGAAGUGGAGAUAUUGAGCUCUAUAAUGAUGCUUCUCAGAUCAGAGAUUGUCGUCUGGUUGGUCUUCUGGAUCUUGCACUGGAGAAAGAUUACGUGCGUUCCAAGAUUGCCGAAUAUAUGAACCAUCUCAUUGACAUUGGUGUUGCUGGCUUCAGAAUUGAUGCUUCCAAGCACAUAUGGCCUGGAGACAUGAAGGCAAUUUUGGAUAAACUGCAUAAUCUCAACACUACCUGGUUCCCUGCAGGAAGUAAACCUUUCAUUUACCAGGAGGUACCUCCAUACAUAUAUGCAUAAAAAUAUCAUCUUAUUCGUUAGAAAAGCCAUAGCAGAUUAUCUUAAAA